CAAUGCUUGAAUCCAUGAAAGUCCUUCCAGAUCAGUGUAUUGUCAGAAUACAGCAUAUGAUUGUGGACCUGUACAGGAAAUAAUUAUGGUGUCUCAGAUACCUGCAACAGAUAAGUCAAAUCUUUGUUCUUAAUAUAAUUAAUGAAAUGGCCCCACACUUUUUCUAAAAUGUCUUCUUUGGAUCUACAAAUACACAAAACAUUUAAUAACAGGCAGAAUAUUGUU